rnacentral:tRNA from 1 species
UGCGGGGUGGAGCAGUCUGGUAGCUCGUCAGGCUUAUAACCUGAAGGUCGUGGGUUCAAAUCUUACCUCCGCAACUA